rnacentral:misc_RNA from 1 species
GUUAAUAUCAUUAGCCAAUUCAGAUGUUUUGCUAUCAGUGUCAGAUGGAAUCGCUUUGAGCCUGGUACAGAAAGUAGUUUUACAAGUGGCCAUCCCAGGCCAAGACUGCAAAAAACGGUGCUGAUCGUAUAGCUUGAGAGCCGAAGAAUAGUGAAGAAGGGUAGGAUUUCUGGUAGAGAAGAAAUGAUUGGGAUGAAUAGUAGGAGAGAAUUGAGCGUUGGGCAUCUCUGCGCGUUUCAACUUUGAAUCGGGGAGAAGGAGACAGGUAGGUAUGGUUUUUAAUUUGUUUAGAGGGGGAUUCGGACUCUGGCUCCACUUGGACAGUGGCUAACUCUCUGCAGUUGUUGGCAGAGUCGAGUCGGAGACGUGGAGUGAAGUGAGACGGUGGCACGAUUCUCUCAUCUGGAUGGUUUUACUCCGCACCGGC